AAGUGGUUGAUACCAUGCUUCCAAGAAAAGCUCCUAAGCUUCAGAUAACUGGGAACCGUACCCCAAACCGACACAGGUGGUUAGGUAGAGAAUACCAAGGCGCUUGAGAGAACUCGGGUGAAGGAACUAGGCAAAAUGGCACCGUAACUUCGGGAGAAGGUGCGCCGGCGAAGGUGAAGGGCUUGCCCCGUAAGCUUUUGCUGGUCGAAGAUACCAGGCCGCUGCGACUGUUUAUUAAAAACACAGCACUCUGCAAACACGAAAGUGGACGUAUAGGGUGUGACGCCUGCCCGGUGCCGGAAGGUUAAUUGAUGGGGUUAGCGCAAGCGAAGCUCUUGAUCGAAGCCCCGGUAAACGGCGGCCGUAACUAUAACGGUCCUAAGGUAGCGAAAUUCCUUGUCGGGUAAGUUCCGACCUGCACGAAUGGCGUAACGAUGGCGGCGCUGUCUCCACCCGAGACUCAGUGAAAUUGAAAUCGCUGUGAAGAUGCAGUGUAUCCGCGGCUAGACGGAAAGACCCCGUGAACCUUUACUAUAGCUUUGCACUGGACUUUGAAUUUGCUUGUGUAGGAUAGGUGGGAGGCUUUGAAGUGGGGACGCCAGUUCUCAUGGAGCCAUCCUUGAAAUACCACCCUGGCAACUUUGAGGUUCUAACUCAGGUCCGUUAUCCGGAUCGAGGACAGUGUAUGGUGGGUAGUUUGACUGGGGCGGUCUCCUCCCAAAGAGUAACGGAGGAGUACGAAGGUGCGCUCAGACCGGUCGGAAAUCGGUCGUAGAGUAUAAAGGCAAAAGCGCGCUUGACUGCGAGACACACACGUCGAGCAGGUACGAAAGUAGGUCUUAGUGAUCCGGUGGUUCUGUAUGGAAGGGCCAUCGCUCAACGGAUAAAAGGUACUCCGGGGAUAACAGGCUGAUACCGCCCAAGAGUUCAUAUCGACGGCGGUGUUUGGCACCUCGAUGUCGGCUCAUCACAUCCUGGGGCUGAAGCCGGUCCCAAGGGUAUGGCUGUUCGCCAUUUAAAGUGGUACGCGAGCUGGGUUUAGAACGUCGUGAGACAGUUCGGUCCCUAUCUGCCGUGGACGUUUGAGAUUUGAGAGGGGCUGCUCCUAGUACGAGAGGACCGGAGUGGACGAACCUCUGGUGUUCCGGUUGUCACGCCAGUGGCAUUGCCGGGUAGCUAUGUUCGGAAGAGAUAACCGCUGAAAGCAUCUAAGCGGGAAACUUGCCUCAAGAUGAGAUCUCACUGGGAUCUUGAAUCCCCUAAAGGGCCGUCGAAGACUACGACGUUGAUAGGUUGGGUGUGUAAGCGCUGUGAGGCGUUGAGCUAACCAAUACUAAUUGCCCGUGAGGCUUGACC
rnacentral:rRNA from 1 species